GGAGGGUGCAAGCGUUGUUCGGAUUCACUGGGCGUAAAGGGCGUGUAGGCGGAGAUGUAAGCUGGAGGUGAAAGCCCCGGGCUCAACCCGGGAAUUGCUCCCAGAACUGCAUUUCUAGAGAGAGUCAGAGGCAGGUGGAAUUCCAGGUGUAGAGGUGAAAUUCGUAGAGAUCUGGAGGAACACCGGCGGCGAAGGCGGCCUGCUGGGACUCUUCUGACGCUGAGGCGCGAAAGCGUGGGGGAGCAAACAGGAUUAGAUACCCUGGUAGUCCACGCCGUAAACGAUGAGCACUCGAUGUGCGAGGUACGACCCCUCGCGUGUCACAGCUAACGCAAUAAGUGCUCCGCCUGGGGACUACGGUCGCAAGACUA
rnacentral:rRNA from 1 species